rnacentral:rRNA from 1 species
AUGUUAGCGGCGGACGGGUGAGUAACACGUGGGUAACCUGCCUGUAAGACUGGGAUAACUCCGGGAAACCGGGGCUAAUACCGGAUGGUUGUUUGAACCGCAUGGUUCAGACAUAAAAGGUGGCUUCGGCUACCACUUACAGAUGGACCCGCGGCGCAUUAGCUAGUUGGUGAGGUAACGGCUCACCAAGGCGACGAUGCGUAGCCGACCUGAGAGGGUGAUCGGCCACACUGGGACUGAGACACGGCCCAGACUCCUACGGGAGGCAGCAGUAGGGAAUCUUCCGCAAUGGACGAAAGUCUGACGGAGCAACGCCGCGUGAGUGAUGAAGGUUUUCGGAUCGUAAAGCUCUGUUGUUAGGGAAGAACAAGUGCCGUUCAAAUAGGGCGGCACCUUGACGGUACCUAACCAGAAAGCCACGGCUAACUACGUGCCAGCAGCCGCGGUAAUACGUAGGUGGCAAGCGUUGUCCGGAAUUAUUGGGCGUAAAGGGCUCGCAGGCGGUUUCUUAAGUCUGAUGUGAAAGCCCCCGGCUCAACCGGGGAGGGUCAUUGGAAACUGGGGAACUUGAGUGCAGAAGAGGAGAGUGGAAUUCCACGUGUAGCGGUGAAAUGCGUAGAGAUGUGGAGGAACACCAGUGGCGAAGGCGACUCUCUGGUCUGUAACUGACGCUGAGGAGCGAAAGCGUGGGGAGCGAACAGGAUUAGAUACCCUGGUAGUCCACGCCGUAAACGAUGAGUGCUAAGUGUUAGGGGGUUUCCGCCCCUUAGUGCUGCAGCUAACGCAUUAAGCACUCCGCCUGGGGAGUACGGUCGCAAGACUGAAACUCAAAGGAAUUGAC